rnacentral:rRNA from 1 species
CCAGACUCCUACGGGAGGCAGCAGUGAGGAAUAUUGGUCAAUGGGCGGGAGCCUGAACCAGCCAUGCCGCGUGAAGGCGAGUGCCCUACGGGCGUUAAACUUCUUUUGUGCGGGAGCAAUAAGGGCCACGCGUGGCCCGAUGAGAGUACCGCACGAAUAAGCAUCGGCUAACUCCGUGCCAGCAGCCGCGGUAAUACGGGGGAUGCGAGCGUUAUCCGGAUUUAUUGGGUUUAAAGGGUGCGUAGGCGGCGCUUCAGGUCAGCGGUGAAAUACCGGGGCUCAACCCCGGGGCUGCCGUUGAAACUGGGGGCCUUGAGUGGGCGAGAAGAAGGCGGAAUGCGUGGUGUAGCGGUGAAAUGCAUAGAUAUCACGCAGAACCCCGAUUGCGAAGGCAGCCUUCCGGCGCCCUACUGACGCUGAGGCACGAAAGUGCGGGGAUCGAACAGGAUUAGAUACCCGCGUA